GUGAAAAUUAUGUUUGAGAAUGCUGACGUUAUGAAAGAAACUAGGCAUGAGACUGGGAGAAAAUAUAGGCAAUUUAUUAGGGAAGAUGUGGAGAGUGAGAUGGGAGAAUGGCGUGGAAAAAGUUUUUAAAAUAUAUACUGUGAAAUGUGAGAGGCAUCUGUCUCAAUCGACGUUCUGACAGAUUUUGAGGAGGGAAAGCAUAUUAAAGAUGUCUAAAUGGUUUUGAAGUAAGAUUGUUUUUUUGUGCACGUGAAAUUUAUUUAUGUAUUUAUUUCCCAUACUUAUACCUCACCCUUCUUACCCCGAAGGGGACACAGGGCGGCCCCACAACAGGCAAUAAUUCAAUGUGAACAUACAAUUCAAAAUAACAAUUACAAUUAAAAUCAAAAAUUAAAACAUCAAUUAUUAAAACAUCAAUUAAAAUCACGCAAGGUCAAGAUCUCAGUCUAGUGUCAGUCCAAGGUCAUUUGAGGAUUAUUAUCAACUAUACUUUUCUGUGACGGUACGCACUCCAUUUGCAUGGGGUUUUUCCACUUCUGGGCAGAUGACACAAUCACUCAAUACCCACCCCUCCUGACAACAAUGAACCCUUUCACCCAGUUAAUCCUCAGACAUCCCAAAAGUUCACCAAGUUACUCACUGCCUGUUUUUUUUUUCUCUCUCCCAGGGAACCCAUCAAGCUGCUUUGGCACCCAUUGACUCCUCAGCCAGGAUCCAUUGUGAAAUUCCAGCUGACAAGAUCAGAAUCAUGAAGAACCUUGCUCACAUUCCUUCCCUUAAGCUCCCAAAUGAGUUGAAUACAAAAAAUGGCUACAAGCUUCAAACAGAGCAAUCAUGGUUUAUUAAAUUUCACACCAGACCAUGGAACUGAUCAGCAGCAACUGUGGUUGAUGUGCCUCCAUCAAUCAGUGGAUCAUAAUUUGCACCAAUUAGCACCUGGUGUGGCAGAAGUCCAGUCUUUCAAACUGCUGUCAAGUUUCUAUAAAUGUCUCUGUAUGCAUCCACUGCCUUUAUGUCUGAUUUGGGACAUCUACUUUUGGCCAAAGCGAAUAAAACAUCUGAUCUUGCCUUCAUCUGUCAUGUCUCGUUUGAAAUUUUGAAGCUUAGACACGGCAGUGGCACUGCAAAGACAACAAUGUGAUGAGGGCCCCCAGUGUAUAAAAAUAGCUCUCAGACCUGCUGCAGUUCCAAACUCUAAUUUAUAGUCAGGUGGAAAACGGAAAUUCAACUCUUGCCUCUUUUCUGAGCUAUAUCCUGUUUCCUCAAAAAUAAGACAACCCCUGAAAAUAAGACCUAGUAGAGGUUUUGCUGAAUUGCUAAAUAUAAAGCCUCCCCCAAAAGUAAGUCCUAGCAAAGUUUUUGUUUGGAAGCAUGCCCGCCAAACAAAAUACCAAAGCAUACAGGAUCGGUAAAUGAACAUACUAUUGAUUGUAUGGAAAUAGUGGCAGUAACAAGAAAUUCUUGAUAGGAUUCACCGUUUGUCUGGUUAUGAUGGUUUGUGAUGACAACUACUGUACAGUAGUUGUUCAGCAAUAUAUAUGAAUUCUUCUUUGUGGAAAAAUAAGACAUCCCCUGAAAAUAAGACCUAGCACAUCUUUGGGAGCAAAAAUUAAUAUGACACUGUCCCGUUUUCAGGGAAACAGGGUAGAAAUGCAGAGAAGUAUCUGGGAAUUGUGCCUGUUACACAACUGGCAAAACCACAAGAUUCUUGCCAUGUUUAAAAAUGGCAGUUCAAUAUAGACACCCUAUAUCCAGGUGGGGCAAAUGUUGCUAACGUUUGUUAUAUUUGUACUUGUAGUUCUUGGUUUUCUUUUGAAGAACUAACAUCCCUUUCACACAGCCAUAUAACUCAGAAUGUCAAGGCAGAUAAUCCACAAUAUCUGCUUUGAAUUUGAAUAUCUGAGUCCACACUGUCAUAUAAUCCAGUUCAAUGUGGAUUUUAUACAGUGCCUGAAACACCAUUCUUUUCAUCCUACAAAAUUCUGAAAACUCUAGGGAGAAACCAAAUUUUUUUGUAUAAUCCCCACACAAGUUCAUAUUUUACUCUGUCCCAGAAUAGGUCAAGAAAAACUCCACCCACUUCUUCAACAAUGACCAGGAUGUGAAAAUGUGAAAAUGACCAGGAGGUGAUAUUCCUUGUUCGGAUGCAGAGGCAACACCAUGAGCACCACCUGCAAUAAUCUGUUUGCACCUUUUGGGGACCUGAAAGUAUGUUUUCAUUCAGAUACUGGCUAAAGUGAUAAAGAAAAUGGAAACAGGAGAUGAAUGAUUAAUACGAAAUCCAGAUUUGCACAACAAACUGGAAGGCAUCCAAGAUAUGCACCAAACACCUUUUUAACUGCAAACAGAUUACAGGUGAUAAUCCUUUUUAAAGGAAAUGAGAAUAGCUGGAAAUGAGUUAGAGAUUACAGGCACCAUGAAAGAAAUGUCCUUAGCAAUUACAAUUUUUUUUGAGAAAUCGUGAGUUGGUUUGGAAAGGGAUUUAGUCAUCACAUGACUGACUUUGACUAUUUCAUCUUCCCGUGAGGAGCUAUUUGUCUAAAAUUGCUCCCACAUGAAAAUCUCCAAAGUUACCAUGUUGUCAGUGAAAAUGUUCAUUCUAAAGAGUUUCCUUUCAUGUGUAAUGAGACAUUCAAGUGGGCAAAACUAAGACAAAUAAUGUCUCAAGUAAAAAUGAAGCAAUGAAGUCACUGCUUGCUGGCUCCUAUCACUUCAAAAUAAACAUUUGACUCAGCCCUAAUACUCCCACAGAACAAUCCCAGAAACAAAACAAAAUGUAAACCUAAGAGAAUACGAUGAUCCUUUUCAUCUCUUAGGUUGUCACAGAAAUUCAAAUACAGUAGAGUCUCACUUAUCCAACACUCACUUAUCCAACGUUUUGGAUUAUCCAAAGCAUUUUUGUAGUCAAUGUUUUCAAAACAUCGUGAUAUUUUGGUGCUAAAUUCAUAAAUGCAGUAAUUAUUACAUAGCAUUUCUGAGUAUUGAACUACUUUUUCUGUCAAAUUUGUUGUAUAACAUGAUGUUUUAGUGCUUAAUUUGUAAAAUCAUAACCUAAUUUGAUGUUUAAUAGACUUUUCCUUAAUCCCUCCUUAUUAUCCAACAUAUUUGCUUAUUCAACGUUCUGCCGGCCCGUUUAUGUUGGAUAAGUGAGACUCUACUGUACCAUCAGCCCAACUUUCAGGGAUAUAACUUCUGUGGAUUUGAUUACUUGCUGAUUUGUACCUGCUGCUUAUCUUGCAGAGUAGCUGCUACUGCUUAACUAGUUUAAGCCCCCGGUUGUGCAGUGGGUUAAACCUUUGUGUCAGCAGGAAUGCUGACUUGAAGGCUGGUUUGCUGACCUGAAGAUUGCCAGUUCGAAUCCAACUCGAGAAGAGCGCAAAUGAGCUCCCUCUGUCAGCUCCAGCUCCCCAUGCAGGGACAUGAGAGAAGCCUUCCAUAAGGAUGGUAAAAAACAUUAAACAUUUAGGCAUCCCCUGUGCAACAUCCUCCCAAUUCUCUCACACCAGAAGCAUCUUGCAGUUUUUCAAUUUGCUCCUGACACAAAGAAAAAAAAAACAGCACCUAGAUUGUAUUUAACAUCGUCCCUUCUGUGACAAACCCUGCCAUAGCUGCUACAAAAAACU
rnacentral:lncRNA from 11 species